GUCUGGGAAACGUGCCUGAUGGAGGGGGAGUAACUACUGGAAAACGGUAGCUAAUACCGCAUAAUGUCGCAAGACCAAAGUGGGGACCUUCGGGCCUCAUGCCAUCAGAUGUGCCCAGAUGGGAUUAGCUAGUAGGUGGGGUAACGGCUCACCUAGGCGACGAUCCCUAGCUGGUCUGAGAGGAUGACCAGCCACACUGGAACUGAGACACGGUCCAG
rnacentral:rRNA from 1 species